rnacentral:ncRNA from 14 species
UGGAAUGGUAGACAUACCAGACUUAAAAUCUGUUGGGGCGUUGCCCCGUGUGGGUUCGAGUCCCACC